CCUACGGGAGGCAGCCGUGAGGAAUAUUGGUCAAUGGGCGGAAGCCUGAACCAGCCAAGUAGCGUGCAGGAUGACGGCCCUACGGGUUGUAAACUUCUUUUAUACGGGAAUAACGCGCCUUACGUGUAGGGCUUUGCAUGUACCGUAUGAAUAAGGACCGGCUAAUUCCGUGCCAGCAGCCGCGGUACUACGGAAGGUCCGGGCGUUAUCCGGAUUUCUUGGGUUUAAAGGGAUCGUAGGCCGCAUGUCAAGCGUGCUGUGAAAUGUCCGGGCUCAACCCGGGCCUUGCAGCGCGAACUGGCGUGCUUGAGUCCGCGGAAAGCAGGCGGAAUGCGUGGUGUAGCGGUGAAAUGCUUAGAUAUGACGAAGAACCCCGAUUGCGAAGGCAGCUUGCUGCAGCGGAACUGACGCUGAUGCUCGAAAGCGCGGGUAUCGAACAGGAUUAGAUACCCGUGUAGUC
rnacentral:rRNA from 1 species